rnacentral:tRNA from 1 species
CCUUCGAUAGCUCAGUUGGUAGAGCGGUGGACUGUAGACGAAAUUUCAAGGGAAUGGAAAUCCAUAGGUCGCUGGUUCAAAUCCGGCUCGAAGGA